UUCAGAGUCGACUUAUGUUUCAAUAUGAACGGGAAUGAAGUGUUACGCAAUUCUUUUAGCGAAAUUUACCUCUGCUGUUUAGUUUCCAUAUUGUGCGUAGAAGCAACAGUGCGUGCACUUUCAGCUGCUCAGUUUAUCUUCAAUGCUGCUCUCAUUUUGUAGAGUUCAUCACAUGUGCAUGUGCAACACAUUGGCGGAGACAAUACGAACUGCAUUUCUCGCUAGCUGGACAAGUCGGAAUGGCAAUGCACCUUGGAGAACAAGACUCGAAUUGCGAAAGUCUGUUUCACGGAACUUUGUUUUAUGUCAAGAUGGGCUGACACCAUGUCACCUGAUGCUGUCACUCUCUGGUAAGCAUGUUAAAAAAAUAAAAACAAUCCAGUUUGAACAGUAA
rnacentral:lncRNA from 1 species